AUGGAUACAAUCCCAAUGAAUGUGUUGUUAAACCUCUCCUUCCAGAGUUUGAAUUGCCUGCAAUUGGCAAAACCACGAAUUCACGCAGUCAUAAUGCUAAUAACCGUUAGAUUGAAAUUAAAUGAUACUGGGAAAACUGCUGAGGGUAUUGUUAACACUCCGGAAAAAUUGUGGAUCACGUUACCAUCUUGGUCUUGUUUGUAA